AGGACCAGGACCAAUACACACAGCUAUCAAGUAAUUUCAAGCAAAAGCAGCUCCAGCAGCCAAAGGCCGUUCCGUAAGAAGGUUGAAGGACAAGACAGAAGACGCACAGAACAGCCUCCACCUUGUGUUGACCUGAAAUAGACCUCCAGAUCUUUCUCCAGGCUUAUUCAGGAUCAGCCAAAAGUUGCACUUCAGGAUCUGCAACCUGGGUGAGCCACUUUUAUGCUCCUACACAGCAAGGUAAGGAGAA